UACGAAGGGGGCUAGCGUUGCUCGGAAUUACUGGGCGUAAAGGGCGCGUAGGCGGCACUGCAAGUCAGGCGUGAAAUUCCUGGGCUCAACCUGGGGACUGCGCUUGAGACUGUGGAGCUAGAGGAUGGAAGAGGGUCGUGGAAUUCCCAGUGUAGAGGUGAAAUGCGUAGAUAUGGGGAAGAACAGCGGUGGCGAAGGCGGCGACCUGGUCCAUUACUGACGCUGAGGCGCGACAGCGUGGGGAGCAAACAGG
rnacentral:rRNA from 1 species